GCCACACAUGCAGUCGAGCGGGCGUAGCAAUACGUCAGCGGCAGACGCGGUGAGUAACGCGUGGGAACGUACCUUUUGGUUCGGAACAACACAGGGAAACUUGUGCUAAUACCGGAUAAGCCCUUACGGGGAAAGAUUUAUCGCCGAAAGAUCGGCCCGCGUCUGAUUAGCUAGUUGGUGAGGUAAUGGCUCACCAAGGCGACGAUCAGUAGCUGGUCUGAGAGGAUGAUCAGCCACAUUGGGACUGAGACACGGCCCAAACUCCUACGGGAGGCAGCAGUGGGGAAUAUUGGACAAUGGGGGCAACCCUGAUCCAGCCAUGCCGCGUGAGUGAUGAAGGCCCUAGGGUUGUAAAGCUCUUUUGUGCGGGAAGAUAAUGACGGUACCGCAAGAAUAAGCCCCGGCUAACUUCGUGCCAGCAGCCGCGGUAAUACGAAGGGGGCUAGCGUUGCUCGGAAUCACUGGGCGUAAAGGGUGCGUAGGCGGGUCUUUAAGUCAGGGGUGAAAUCCUGGAGCUCAACUCCAGAACUGCCUUUGAUACUGAAGAUCUUGAGUCCGGGAGAGGUGAGUGGAACUGCGAGUGUAGAGGUGAAAUUCGUAGAUAUUCGCAAGAACACCAGUGGCGAAGGCGGCUCACUGGCCCGGUACUGACGCUGAGGCACGAAAGCGUGGGGAGCAAACAGGAUUAGAUACCCUGGUAGUCCACGCCGUACACGAUGAAUGCCAGCCGUUAGUGUGUUUACUCACUAGUGGCGCAGCUGACGCUUUAAGCAUUCCGCCUGGGGAGUACGGUCGCAAGAUUAAAACUCAUAGGAAUUGACUGGGGC
rnacentral:rRNA from 1 species